GACGAACGCUGGCGGCGUGCUUAACACAUGCAAGUCGAACGGAAAGGCCCUGCUUUUGUGGGGUGCUCGAGUGGCGAACGGGUGAGUAACACGUGAGUAACCUGCCCUUGACUUUGGGAUAACUUCAGGAAACUGGGGCUAAUACCGGAUAGGAGCUCCUGCUGCAUGGUGGGGGUUGGAAAGUUUCGGCGGUUGGGGAUGGACUCGCGGCUUAUCAGCUUGUUGGUGGGGUAGUGGCUUACCAAGGCUUUGACGGGUAGCCGGCCUGAGAGGGUGACCGGCGACAUUGGGCCUGAGAUACGGCCCAGACGCCUACGGGAGGCAGCAGUGGGGAAUAUUGCACAAUGGGCGGAAGCCUGAUGCAGCAACGCCGCGUGCGGGAUGACGGCCUUCGGGUUGUAAACCGCUUUCGCCUGUGACGAAGCGUGAGUGACGGUAAUGGGUAAAGAAGCACCGGCUAACUACGUG
rnacentral:rRNA from 1 species